UACGUAGGCAGCAAGCGUUGUUCGGAAUCACUGGGCGUAAAGAGUGUGUAGGCGGUCGGCUAAGUUCGGUGUGAAAUCUCCCGGCUCAACUGGGAGGGUGCGCCGGAAACUGGCGGACUGGAGCGUGGGAGAGGAAAGCGGAAUUCCUGGUGUAGCGGUGAAAUGCGUAGAGAUCAGGAGGAACACCAGCGGUGUAGACGGCUUUCUGGACCACAGCUGACGCUGAGACACGAAAGCGUGGGUAGCAAACAGG
rnacentral:rRNA from 1 species